AUUGAACGCUGGCGGCAGGCCUAACACAUGCCAGUCGAACGGUAACAGGAAGAAGCUUGCUUCUUUGCUGACGAGUGGCGGACGUGUGAGUAAUGUCUGGGAAACUGCCUGAUGGAGGGGGAUAACUACUGGAAACGGUAGCUAAUACCGCAUAACGUCGCAAGACCAAAGAGGGGGACCUUCUGGCCUCUUGCCAUCGGAUGUGCCCAGAUGGGAUUAGCUAGUAGGUGGGGUAACGGCUCACCUAGGCGACGAUCCCUAGCUGGUCUGAGAGGAUGACCAGCCACACUGGAACUGAGACACGGUCCAGACUCCUACGGGAGGCAGCAGUGGGGAAUAUUGCACAAUGGGCGCAAGCCUGAUGCAGCCAUGCCGCGUGUAUGAAGAAGGCCUUCGGGUUGUAAAGUACUUUCAGCGGGGAGGAAGGGAGUAAAGUUAAUACCUUUGCUCAUUGACGUUACCCGAAGAAGAAGCACCGGCUAACUCCGUG
rnacentral:rRNA from 1 species